UACGUAGGGUGCAAGCGUUUAAUCGGAAUUACUGGGCGUAAAGCGUGCGCAGGCGGUUGUGUAAGACAGAUGUGAAAUCCCCCGGGCUCAACCUGGGAACUGCAUUUGUGACUGCACGGCUGGAGUGCGGCAGAGGGGGAUGGAAUUCCGCGUGUAGCAGUGAAAUGCGUAGAUAUGCGGAGGAACACCGAUGGCGAAGGCAAUCCCCUGGGCCUGCACUGACGCUCAUGCACGAAAGCGUGGGGAGCAAACAGG
rnacentral:rRNA from 1 species